rnacentral:lncRNA from 1 species
GGGGACUGAACAUGGCGCCGCGAGGUGAGACUCUGGAGGUGUGUGUCUCUGCCCCUUAUCCCACGGGUACCUGCCAGCCCCCUCCACCUCUCUGUCUCCAGAGCUCGACCUAAUCCUCCAUUUCUAAAAGUCGGGGUCUUACUCUUCACUUGUCUAAAUCGGGCUUGGGUUGUUCUGAUCACCCCGAGUGCCUGCAUGGGUACUCGAAUACCGUACUCUUAAAAAUCCCCGGCUGGCCCUAUUCUGGGAUGGCUCAGUUAUGAAUCCUCCCGCCUUGGACAGAAUUAGUUUCUGUGCCUCAAUUUCCCCCUCAGAAGUGACAGGGUUGAAUAUUUGAGGUGCCUCUCAGCUGUGAUUAUAGCUGAAUUGUCAGAGAAGUAGAUGUCAAAGUGAUUCCUGAGAAAGGAGAUUGAAGGCAGUUCCUGCCACACCAACACUCACGUCAUUAGCAAUCAGAAGUUUCUCCCUCAUUCACAAUAAUCUUGUGAUUUCUCCGGAUUACAAAGAACCUUCACACAGAACAGAGUAGAGCUCUAGCUGCCCUGCCCAUUCUUUGUUUUGCUUUCUUUCAGAUAAAAGAUUGUCCUCAACCCCCCUGGAAGUCCUGUUCUUUCUGAAUGGGUGGUACUAUGCUACCUAUUUCCUGCUGGAGCUCCUUAUUUUCCUGUACAAAGGUAAGCCUGGGCCUAUCUGCCUCUGCCCCAGCAACCCUUUUCCACUUUAGCAUACUCCAAGAACCUUCUAUCUUCUGGUCCUAGCGGCAUCUCCAUUGCAAGGCAGAAGUCUCUCCAACUAAUGGCUUUAGAAUGAUCAAAUAGGAUGUCUUUCAGCAAGACUUGAGUUUGAGAAAUGUGGGUUUCUCCAUCCCAACUCUUUCCCCAUCUCUCUUUACUAAAAUAUUCAGAUCUGUGUACCAUUAUAAUUCAGUCAUUUGGCAGAGUCAGGACUUGGAAACUUAAAGCCUGUAGCUGUAACAAUCUAUACCUUGCUGAUUUGUGAGAUGUUAAGACUGGUUGGUAUCCUUGUCCCGGGUUUGUGGCCGUCCAUCCUUGUGGGGCCGUGGGGCUGACCGUUAGCUAGGUGGUGUGUGCAUACUCUGGCUUUCCCUCCUGUAGGGCUCCUGUUGCCGUACCCAACAGCCAACUUAGUCCUGGAUGUGGUGAUGCUGCUGCUCUAUCUUGGCAUUGAAGUCAUACGAUUGUUUUUCGGUGAGUGUUGUUCAGAAAAUAUUUCCAUUGCUUAUGAGACAUGCUGGAGCCUGUAACUUGAUUAACAAGACAAAGAACCUAGGCUCACUAUCAGAGUGGAUCUGGUAAUGUAUAUACCAUUGCUUCUUCCCUGAGGCUUCAAGCUGCCGCUUCAUAUUCUAGGUCAAGGUUUACCUGUGUGUUUGUGAGUGAGGCUAGAAGCGGGCAGUAGCACUGAUCUUAGACCAGUCCUCCCAGCUGCCUGAGUGCCACAAGAGUGCCUGCGUCUUCUCCUUGCUCUGAGAGAGGAAAGCAGUACAUUCCUAAAGAGCUCAAGAUCCCCUCCGCUUCUCUAAACAAGGAUUUCUCUAGAAGUUCCUAGACACCAGAGAACAGAGCAAAACUGCUGAUUACUUAGAAUAUAUCAUCCUAGUGCGAAAAUACAAACCUAAGGGAGAGAAUGGUAAGGGAUACUAACAGUCAAUUCACAAAAGUCAUUAUAGAGGACCAAAAACCUUGCUAAGGUGAGCAUGGUGGCACAUGCCUUUAAUCCCAGUACCCUCUGGCAGAGACAAGGGGAUGGCUAUGCAUUCAAUUAGACAUAAUGAAUUCCAGUGCAGACAGGGAUGCGUAGUUAAAUAGAUCUUAAAUAGAUCCUAGC